rnacentral:rRNA from 1 species
AGCGAACGCCGGCGGCAGGCCUAACACAUGCAAGUCGAACGAACUCUUCGGAGUUAGUGGCGGACGGGUGAGUAACACGUGGGAACGUGCCUUUAGGCUCGGAAUAACUCAGGGAAACUUGUGCUAAUACCGAAUGUGCCCUUCGGGGGAAAGAUUUAUCGCCUUUAGAGCGGCCCGCGUCUGAUUAGCUUGUUGGUGAGGUAAAGGCCCACCAAGGCGACGAUCAGUAGCUGGUCUGAGAGGAUGAUCAGCCACAUUGGGACUGAGACACGGCCCAAACUCCUACGGGAGGCAGCAGUGGGGAAUCUUGCGCAAUGGGCGAAAGCCUGACGCAGCCAGGCCGCGUGAAUGAUGAAGGUCUUAGGAUUGUAAAAUUCUUUCACCGGGGACGAUAAUGACGGUACCCGGAGAAGAAGCCCCGGCUAACUUCGUG